rnacentral:rRNA from 1 species
CCAAUAGCGUAUAUUAAAGUUGCUGAAGUUAAAAAGCUCGUAGUUGAAUUUCGGGACCAUCAUGUCGGUCGUGCCUCGGUACGUACUGGCAUUGUUGGUUUCUCCCUUCUGACGAACCAUGAUGUCAUUUAUUUGGUGUUGUGGGGAAUCAGGACUGUUACUUUGAAAAAAUUAGAGUGUUUAAAGCAGGCUCACGCUUGAAUACAUUAGCAUGGAAUAAUGAAAUAGGACGUUUGAUUCUAUUUUGUUGGUUUCUAGGAUCGACGUAAUGAUUAAUAGGGAUAGUUGGGGGCAUUAGUAUUCAAUUGUCAGAGGUGAAAUUCUUGGAUUUAUUGAAGACUAACUACUGCGAAAGCAUUUGCCAAGGAUGUUUUCAUUAAUCAAGAACGAAAGUUAGGGGAUCGAAGACGAUCAGAUACCGUCGUAGUCUUAACCAUAAACUAUGCCGACUAGGGAUCGGAUGAUGUUAAUUUUUUAAUGACUCAUUCGGCGCCUUACG